rnacentral:lncRNA from 1 species
AGAUUUCGGAGCCGGCGCCGGAGGUUAAACACGAGGAAGAAGAGAAGAAGCCGAGUCUCUUGGAGAAGCUUCACCGAAGUGACAGCUCUUCUAGCUCCGUAAGUUUAUAUUUAUGUAUAUCUUUUGCGUUAACGUAAGUUAGAAGUUAGAUCGGAUCUGUUGAUGAUUAUUUUCACCAGAUAGAAUGAUUUAUCUAAUUAUACGGAUUCGAAUUUUUGACAGUCAAGCGAGGAAGAAGGUGAAGAUGGUGAGAAGAGGAAGAAGAAGAAGAAGGAUAAGAAGAAGACUACUACUACUACUACUGCUGAAGGAGAGGUGAAAACAGAGGAGGAGAAAAAAGGGUUUAUGGAGAAGCUGAAGGAGAAGCUUCCAGGACACGGAAAGAAGCCUGAAGAUGCCUCAGCCGCCGCCCCCGCCGCACCUGUUGUUGUUCCUCCGGUGGAGGAAGCGCAUCCGGCGGAGAAGAAGGGGAUUUUGGAGAAGAUUAAGGAGAAGCUUCCAGGAUACCAUCCCAAGACCGUAGAGGAGGAGAAGAAGGAAAAGGAAUCUGGUUAAGACGAAGAAAAAGCGGAUGAUCAUUAUUAAUAUGAAUAAUGAUGAUGGGAGAUUUGCUUUGUUUUUGUGAUGAAUGAUGAUCAUCUUUUGCUUUUGUGCUGUGAAAGUUUGUUGGCUUUUCUUUUUUUUUUUGUUGGUUACAGUUUUUCUGUUUCUCUCUUUGUGAUGUUUGUAUAUGAUUUGAAGGUAUUUUAAUGGUAUGGAUAUUUUCAUUUCAGAAUAUUUGGAUCAUUUGUUUUCUGGAUUCGUGCUGAAUAAUAUUUGAGUUUCGUUAGGACAA